ACAUACCCCGAGCUGGAGGCUUGAGCCUGUGGCACGUAGGCUCGCCUCGCUGCGGUUGGUGGAGGUGAUGGAGGUUGCAGCUUGGCCAGCAUGGUAGAAAGGUGGCAGGGCACAUCUGGCUUUUACCACCCAGAUGCUUUGAGCCAGGAGAUGGAGGAUUCAUCUGUUGCACACUGGAGGCUGGAGCCUGCAGAUGGCAUGGUUCUGUGGCUCGCCUCGCUGCAGUUGAUGGCAGAGACAGAGACUGCAGCUUGACUGGAGUGGUGGAGAGGUGUGUAUCUCAAGAGCACUCCACAACAAAGAUUCUGCCUGCAAUCCACCACUUCAAGUUUCUUUAUUUGUAGGCACAACUGCAUAAAGAAACCAGAUGGCCCAACAGCACCAGAGCUUCUCCACCCCGACCAGAUAUCAGAAGGAGAAUUUCCCUGGCUAAUACCUCCGGUACAAUGCUGAAUAGAGUGGUUAAAGUGGAAAUUCUUGUCUUCUCAAACUUUCAGGUAAAGAAGCACAAGUCUGUCGCCAUUAAGUAUAAUGGAUGUUAGCCGU